rnacentral:lncRNA from 1 species
UUUUUUUUUUUUUUUUUUUCCUUUUAACAGAGGUACCAAUGGAGAAUAUGUGUGCCCUGAACUGUUCUGGCCUAGAAAGCAGGCAGCUGAGGUGCAUUAAGUAUAGAAGCCAGGUGUGAAUUACUGUGCGUUUAUCUCACGUUUGCCACAGGAGAAGAGUACUGCAGGCUGGUUACCAUGGUUCAGCUGAUAGAAGGUGCUGGCUCCUGUUCUUUUCCUUGCCUUGAAUAUGGUGAAUAUGCUGCACAUCCUUGAGUGGCUUCAAAACAGCGGCAGUAGCCACACCAGCAGCUCCAUCUGGUGAGAGCUGGAAGAAGAAGAAGAAGCAACUGGAGGCUGAGAGCCUUCAUCACCCCUGGAAUUGGUGUGUCUUCUGCAGUAGUUGGAGGGAGAGAGCCAUUCUCACCUUACAGGAUGUCCCUUCCUGUCCCCAGCCCUGAACCCUGCCCCCUUUCCAAAAAAUCUCCAUCAUCUUUCCUUUGGGGACAGCUUGACAAAUGGAUACCGUGAUAAAGGUUUAUCGCUCCUGCUGCUGCUCUGGCGCUCCCCAUCUGCCUGGAAGAGCUCUCCUAAGAGCACAGAAAUGGACAUAACCCCUUGCUGUGACAUAUCAUCUUCUGGACAUUUUCCUGCCAUAUGAAAUUGUGAUUUAUGGCUCAAAUUAAUGAAAUGGCGUUUUAUGGCUUAAAUUAAUGAACUACCGCAUCCCGCGAGGGUAUUUGAGAGGGACCUUUUGGAACCACCGGUCUGUGACAACCGAAAGCAUCAGACCCCUUUGGUUUCUGUAGGAGUAACACCUGGACCUUUCUUCCCUGCUGGGAGCACUGGGGACAGCAUGGGGUAUUU